UGUGGGAGAGAGAUCUAAACCCUAACUUUGAUGGCUACCUCUGAAUAAUGAUUUCUCCUCCUCUCCUCCAGGGGCCAGGGGGUCUGGUUUUAUAGUCCCCUCAAGUGAACGUGAGCCAUUGGAUCAAACCGACAUAGAUUGUAUGGUUUAGAUUGAUCCUUUAGGUCGGUGGAGCGUUGUCCUGAAGCAGAGUCCUGGUUGGCUUCCUGGCCAGGGCGGGCGCCCAAAGGGGGUGGGCGGCCGCCCAGCUCCCGAGCCCGAUUCGCGUCCCGUUCGUUCCCGUGGCUUCUGGAUCCUUCUAGAUUGAGGAAAAUUGCGCGGCACGUAAUUAUCUCGUUGUAAACAUGACAUGUGGGCCUUCUCUCCCUAUUUUCUGAUAAACCCCUACAGAAAUAGAUAAACACCAAAGCUCGUGGAAUUCUGUCAGAUAAAACCCCUAUUCUAGAUGUUUGUUUCAUAUUGAUCCUUUUUCAUGUUUAUUUGAUUAUUAAUUUUAGUACGUAAGGACCGUCAACAAACUCUCCCAAGCUUACCCUUUGCUCGUCCCUGAGCAAAUAGCUAAACUCGGACGGAUCAGGAGUUGCUUCGAUGUUUUCUUUCCUAACAGGCACACAUGCUUUUACAUAAAAAUUCUUCCAGAUUAGAGUGAAGUGUUAUGGAGUUUAGUACCUGCACUUAAAUCUUAAGUAAUCGAAAGACAAAAUAGUUAAGUCAAGCACUAUUCCUCUUGCCUAUACUUCACCUUUGUUCCAGAGUUUUUCAUAAGUUUUCAAAAUAAAACUCAGAGUUCCCAGCAAUGAUUCUCUCAGGUCUCUCUAUAUGUGGUAUUUGUGGAUCCUUACCAUGAUAUCACUUACCUAAAGCUAAUAGAAUAUUUAAGUGGAGCUCAUAGGAGUGAAAAACAGCUCAUACAUAUGUUGUCUAAUCGAGCCAUGGAUCCAAAGAAACUCAGCAUAUAAUUAAAUCAAGAUGUGCAUGUGUGAUGAAGUAAAUGAUAGUGAUGAUGAAAAUGCAUAAGUGAUAACUUACUUCUCAUUGCUCCUCAUAUUGCUAUCUCUUCUCUUCUUUGAUCUUCGCUUUGGGAGAACAUGGGCUAUCUUUUUUUUUCUUUUCUUUUCUCUUUUUUUUCAGGUGGGUAGUAGAUACCCCUAAUUCUACUAUCGGACACUUGUCCAUUUUUUCCGCUCAAGUGGGCAUUUAUGUACCCCUAAUUCUACUUCGGACACUUGUCUAUUUUUACCUCUCGUCUCACUCUUUUUCUUUCUUUUCCGAGGUUCCGGGCACUUGCCCCUUUUUAUUUCCUCGUAUAUUUUUGCAUAACCCAUGCCUCUUCUGCAUUGAAUCUUUUUAGAGAGAGAGAAUAACAAUAUUCGGGACAGUGAGUGAUAACAUUUUUAGCAAUUUUAAUGAAUGAUGAUGGAUGCUGUGGUAGAUGUGUGCAAGUGAAUAUCUUAAUUUAACCACAUGAAAAGCUCCUAAGGGUCUACACAGCUCGAUCAAACUCAAUGUAAAUAUAGUAAAAGAUGGUAUAGCAAGUAUGGCUGUGGUAGGUAGUUUUGUUAUGCUAGGAACUCAUCAUGUGAUUUGUAAGUUUUCAAAAAUAAAUCUCCAGAACUUAGUGUAGUAGGAACAAGAUAAACAGUAGCUCGACUUUAUAUCAUGCCUUUCUCUUACCUAGACUUUAAUUUUAUGCUUUCCAAAGAUAGUAAUUUCAAUUUUAGUAAUUCCUGGAAGAAUUCUAAUAUAAAAGCUAGGUACUUGUAAGUAAGCAAACAGAGCAACUGUUCAUCAUUUCCAUCAUGCAUCUUUUUGGUCUUUUUAUUUUUUUUAGAGAUUAAACUUAGCAGAAAAAUAAAGCACACUUAUCUACACACUCUUUUUAUUUUGUUUUCAUGUUUAUUAAAAUGCAGUAAAUUAAAGCAAGAAAAUAUUUAUUUGGUUUUCUAAUAAUAACUUUUUUUAUAUAAAUUAAAUACUAAGACAGAAUAGAAUAAAUAAGAAGAGCAAAUAGAAACUUACUUGAUAAAUUAGGGAGGAACUCCCCCAAGCUGGAUGUUGCCGUCGGUCUUACCCAAUGUUCCAGAACCGCAUCAUGGUUGUGAUGUUGUCGUUCAUUGUUGUUGUAUCUUGUCUCAGCUCUUCUACUGCAGCGGCAUGGUCCUGGUUCCAUUUUUGUUGCUCUUCCAGGAGUCUUCCAUGUUCUGCUUGCGUGUUCUGGAUGUCGAGGAGGGUGUUGUCGGUACGAGUGAAGAAAGCACCGGCCUCUUGAUAGUAGUCAUUCGUGAAGGCGUUGGAGGCGUCGGAGUAUCGUCCUGCAUCAAAUUGUGGUGGAGGUCUGGAUCCUGAAGCUCCAUAUGGAUCAGUGGAGUACCUGCCCGUAUGAAAAGGCGGGUUUGUCCACUGGUGAUCUUGGCUCUCCGGCCAUGUCUCCUCUGUUGGCUCUUGUGGUUGCGCAUGACGAGCCCAUGGGUCUCGAAGGACUCGUGGAUUGUAAUCGCAAUAAUGCAGGUGCGCUGCUUCUUCUGGUCCAGGGUCAGCUCCAUACCAAGUACGUUCUCGGUGAGUGGUUAUCCUUUCAGAUGCCACUCGCUGUGGAGUUCUCUGGUUCACUGGUGUUGCUGCAAUCUCAAUCAAAAAGUUUUGCACAGCGUAGAGGCCAAGGUUCGGGUUAGGUAACCGAAUCUUGCCUUUAUCAUCAUAUAGCAUAUACAUUAUAUUCCCCUCUUUCUUUAACAUCCGAGCUUGUCUAAAUGUGUCAUAGCCAUGAUAAAUUCUUAAUUGUUCUAUGAAGUCCAGUGAUGAGUUUUCUAGUAAGUGAAGAUUAGUGGCUAGACGAGUGAUAAGUGAAGUACAUCCUACUGGUCCCUGAAGACUAGGUAUACUAAGCCAAUGUGAAACUAAUUGUUGACACCGUUUUUGGGCACGUGUCUAGGAUGACGGGAUAAGGUGGCAGUAUGCUGUUUACAGGGUGAGUUGCCGAUGAGGAUGGUUGCCGAUGAAGGAGAGGUUGAAUGUGACUAGGUCCGCAGGCAGUGAUGUGUUUAUGCCGAUGGCUAUAAUGGGGGAGUCUGCCGAUGACCAUGGUAAGAAGUCUGCCGAUGACCAUGGUAAGGAGUCUGCCGAUGAUACGGAGGAGGAGUCCGGAAACUACUGAUCGGUUUAUGGAAGAAUUUUAGUUCAUCACGGGAGAUAGUUUUGUUAUUUCCUUAUUUAUUUAAGUUGUUUUGUAUACGGAUUCCGUGCAAUUUGGAAUUCGAAUUCUAGUCGUGUUUAAUUGUAGCUCUUUGAGCAGGGUAUAAAUAUGAACCCUAGGGCCUUGUAAUGACAUGAAUCUAUCAAUCAAUUAAACAUACGUUUUUACUCAUAUUCCAGCAUCUACUUUUCGACGACUUCGUCAUACUUUUUCCUUUUAUUACGAGUUCUUAGGAAUUCGUUGACUUAAGCUCGGCGUGUUCUCGAGUUCCGCGUGAGUACCUCUUAGCCGUGACAUCCGGGCGCAUCGCUGUUGUCAGAACUAAAGUAUUCGAGUUAUCACCUUUGCCGAUAGUAAGGUCAAAUCGGCUGGCACGCCUUAACGUUUGAAUCGGGUAUUAGCCCUUUGUGUUUGCAGAUCAGUUUUUGCAUCAACACAUCUUUUGGCACGCCCGGUGGGACCAGAUUCAAGAUCAAGAUCAACAUGUCGAUCUCUGACCUCGAUCAGGAGAACGUCAUCCCCGUGACGGAGGCCAAUCUCAAGGAUGAGCAGAAGCAAGCUAUUGCCCAAGCCAUGUAAGAGUUCAAGCUGCAAUGCCUGAGGUCUUUCAGCAUAAACAGGAGCGGCGAGGUGGUCCAGAAAGAUGCACUGCCGGCACCACGGCAAAUUACCUUCGAAGCCAAUCCUAGCAAGCUUCAAGAUAUGGUUGACAGCGCUAUCAACCGAGCUUUGAUCAACCAAGCUUGUGUACUGUCUAAUACGGUUUUCAAUGCCGUGGCAAGAACUUUCAAGGAAGGACAAAUCCCACCAGAUUAUGUGGGCCCCUCUCAUCAUCAGCCGACGGCACCAGAGGUCACGGCUCCAUCGGCUGCUUUGACGGCUGCAAGUGCACAAUCUGCCGUCCCUCCAAGUACAUCGGGAACUACUGGUGCAUUAUCUGUGCCGAUGAUAACCAACCCACAGACUUCAAUUGGGCAGCAUAAACUGACGACAGAUAUGUUGGCAUCGGCAAUGUCAGGGUUGACUCCUCCUCCCAACUGGUGGGGUUACGGUAUGCCUCCAGAGUUGACACCAGGAACAUCACAAAUAACUGACAUGAGGGGCAAGACUCCUAUGACAUCGGCGCCUCCCAAUGCGCCGGUGAACCAGAGUACUCGGUAUACCACAACUACUACUGCAAGGCCUCACACUGGAAAUCCUCAAGAUUCAAUGUUCCAAAUGCCUAAUGCAUCUGCAGAUUCAAUGCUGAUGCAACAGAGGUCUACGGCACAGUCGGGGUAUGUCAAUUCAAUGAUGGUACCCAAUUACCAAUCAUCGGCAGCACCUAUGCCGAUGAACACUAAUAAUGGAUGGCUUGGACAGCAAAUCUUUCCACAAUCACCCCAGUAGAGUUAUCAGACUACAGGGUUCCAGCAAGGACAGGUCUAUCUCGGGUUCCAAGGUCAGGGGAUUCCCAACCAGCCAAUGAAUUUCGGACAGCAACUCGGGGGGCAGCAAAUCAGUGGACAGCAGUUCGGUGGUCCGCAGAUUGGGGGCCAGAUGAUCAACCCAGUGUUCCGUGCAGAUCAUGCCCCAAACAGACACGUGGAGGUUCGCCACCAGAUGCCGGACCCGCAGCCGCCCCAUCGGCAGGAUGCCGAUGCAUAUUGGGCCGAUAAGAUCGCUGAAGUAAUGAGGGAUCAAUUUGGGAUAAAACCCAAGGUCAACACUUACUCUUAUCGGACACCGUAUCCUCCCGCAUACGAUUUGAUCCCGCUUCCACAUCGGUAUAAGGUACCGGAUUUCACUAAGUUUUCCGGGCAGGAUGACACGUCAACCAUGGAGCAUGUCAACAGGUUCAUCAUUCAAUGUGGAGAGGCUGGUAACAGGGACGAAUUGAGGGUUCGUCUAUUUUCAUCAUCAUUGUCUGGAUCGGCCUUUACUUGGUUCAUAUCAUUACCUCCUAAUUCAGUGAUUACUUGGGCCGAUCUAGAGAAACAAUUCCACAAGUACUUAUUUUCUCGAGUUCACGAGAAGAAGAUCACCGAUUUGGUCAAAUUGAGACAGCGCAAUGAUGAAUCGGUUGAAGGUUUCGUACAGAGGAUACGGGAAGUCAAGAAUAAAUGCUAUAGUCUGGUUCUAGAUGAUCGGCAGCUAGCCGAUUUGGCUUUCCAGGGUUUGUUGCCACACAUCAGGGAUAAGUACGCUUCUCAGGAGUUUGAAAGCUUAAGUCAUUUAGUGCAGAGAAUUUCUGAUCAGGACGUCAAGCCUUUUGAGCCCAAAAGGGCAUGGAACAAGAAGGUGUCGUUUGUUGAUGAAGCAACAAGUUCAGAUUCUGAUGAGGAACCAGUCAUCGGCUUGGCAGAAUGGGUAAAAAACAAGAAGCCGAUGUCUUGCCCCUUUGGGCUGAAGGAACCAGAGAAGUUUGCUUUUGACACCGCUAAGGCCGAUAGGAUAUUUGACUUUCUACUUCAGGAAGGUGAGAUCAAGCUGUCUCCUAAUCACGUGAUCCCAUCGGCUGAAGAGUUAAAGAGGAUGAAAUAUUGCAAGUGGCAUAAUGCAACUUCUCAUGACACCAAUGAGUGCAAAGUGUUCAGACAGCAGCUGCAAUCGGCUAUAGAGUCUGGGAGAAUCAAGUUUGACAGUUCCAAGGCCCAGAAGCCGAUGAAAAUAGACCAACAUCCUUUCCCGACAAACAUGUUGGAUGCCAAGGGGAAGGCUAAGGUCUUAACAUCGGAGACAGCUGAGAAGAGUGCAUCGGUAGAUCCUCAGCAUCAAGUUACUACUGCCGAUGCAAGAAGUAAGGGCUUGGUCAAGGAAGGAACUAGCUCAGGAAGGCCUCCUCGGUCUGGUAUUGUUAUAACUCAUAGAAGGCCUCGAGAAAAUUGGCAGCAACGGGAGGAUCGGUAUCGGCGCCAGCAAGAAGAUUAUCGACGGGAGGAAGAAAGACGCCGACAGGAGUGGAAUCGGCACAGAGAUCAUUGGAACUGUCCGUUCUUCAUCCAUUAUUGGGAGGAAAAUAUCAAGCUUCCUACUGUCAGAGACUGCCCUGAGUGCAACGGUUAUGAUCGGUACGAUAGGACCGAUCGGCGUUAUCAUGAUGAUGAUCAGCGAUUUAAUGGUCCAAUCAGAGGAAGGGCGUCAGUUCAUGAUCGGCUGGGGGGCAGGCUUAGCGUGCACAAUAGGCUUGGUGACCGUGUCCAAUAUUUUCCCAGGAACCAGGAAGAGCUCGAGGAGAUGGCUAAUGCGCGGGUUCCCGAUGAGUUCAUAUUUUGCAGGGAUGCUAACACGCAUCGUAUGGAGUCAAGGGAGAACCGACGCCCAGCGGCAAGGCAAAAACCACUCCCUCCGUGGUGUCCUGAAGGGUUAACCAAGACACAGAAAAGGAGAUUGCAACAUGAAAGGCAAGAGGAGCUAAGCAAGGGCGAGAACUCUGGAAGUCAGCAGCCAUCGGACACUAAGAAGGAAGGUCCAUCGGCAGGAGUUAACAUGGUCUUUAUGUUGCCGAUGGAGUUUCUUGCACCAUCCAGUGAUGAUGAGUUGGAAUUUUCUGAUCAGAUAGCUCAGCUGGCUCUGGAUCCGAUGACGGCUAUCUUUGAGAAACCUGCCGAUGACGAGAGACAACAUCUUAAGGCUCUGUUCGUCAAAGGGAGGGUUGAUGGGCAGCCAAUGACCAAGAUCCUAGUUGAUGGUGGAGCUGCUAUUAAUAUUAUGCCGUAUGCAGUAUAUCGGAAGCUUGGGAAAGGGGAUUAGGAUUUGACCAAGACCGAUAUGAUGCUCAAGGAUUUCGAAGGAAACGUGUCUCCAAUCAAGGGGGCAAUAUGUGUGGAGUUGACCAUCGGCAGCAAAACCUUGCCUACAACUUUCUUUGUGAUCAGUGGAAAGGGUGCUUACAACUUAUUGUUGGGAAGAGAUUGGAUUCAUGCCAAUUGUUGCAUCCCAUCCACAAUGCACCAAUGCUUGGUUCAGUGGGUAGGUGACAAGAUUGAGAUUGUCCCAGGAGAUUCUUCUUAUGUUAUUGCAUCGGCAGAGGCGGAUACUUAUGAGAGGACUAGGUGCAUUUCAGGGGAAGUUUGGGAGAAAGAUUUUCUCAAAGUUGCCGAUUACGAGAUUCCACCGAUCCAAGUAGUCGGUUCUGAUGAUGGUUCUUAAUGGAUAGAUUCGCCGAUGAUGGAAAGUUGGGCCAGGGAUUCACAUCGGCCGAUGAUUUGGUAGAAGUAGAUAUAGGUAGUGGUGAUAAGCCUAGACCUACUUUUAUUAGCGCUAAAUUAGAUCCUGAGUGUAAGCAGCAAUUAACUGAUUUGUUAAAGGAAUAUAAAGAUUGCUUUGCUUGGGAUUACACCGAGAUGCCUGGUUUAGACCGAUCAAUUGUUGAACAUCGGUUACCCAUCAAGUCUGGAUUUCGGCCACAUCAGCAACCAGCUCGCCGAUGUAAUCCUAACAUUCUACCUGAUAUUAAGGCCGAAAUCACCAAACUCAUUGAAGCUAAGUUUAUUCGGCAAUGUCGGUAUGCCGAAUGGAUUUACAUUGUUGUUCCGGUUUACAAGAAAAACGGGAAGCUUUGGGUGUGCAUUGAUUUCAGGAAUCUCAAUAAAGCUACGCCGAUGGAUGGAUACCCGAUGCCUGUUGCCGAUCUAUUGGUUGACGCUGCGGCUGGUCAUCGGGUCAUCAGCUUUAUGGACGGCAAUGCAGGAUACAAUCAAAUAUUCAUGGCAGAGGAAGAUAUUCCAAAAACCGCAUUUAGGUGUCCUGGUCAUGUUGGAUUAUUUGAAUGGAUAGUCAUGACCUUUGGGAUGAAGAAUGCUGGUGCUACUUAUCAAAGGGCCAUGAAUUUUAUAUUUCAUGAGUUCAUCGGCAAGCUGGUGGAGAUCUAUAUUGAUGAUGUGGUGGUUAAGUCUAGGGAUUUCUCGAAGCAUCUUGCCGACUUACAAAAGGUGUUAGAGUGCACAAGGAAGCAUGGGUUGAAGAUGAAUCCCAAUAAGUGAGCAUUUGGUGUAUCGGCAUGGCAGUUUCUUGGUUUCAUGGUACAUCAAAGAGGGAUUGAAAUUAGUCGAAGAUCUAUUGAUACUAUCAAUAAAAUAGUGGCCCCUACCAACAAGACUGAGCUCCAGUCCUUGAUCGGCAAGGUAAAUUUUAUCAGGAGAUUUAUAUCCAAUCUGUCUGGUAAGAUUCGUGCUUUCAGUCCUCUUCUUAAAUUGAAAGCCGAUCAAGAAUUUAUUUGGGGAAAAGAGCAGCAGUUGGCUUUGGAUGAAAUCAAGAAAUAUCUAGUGAAUCCUCCAGUUCUAGUUCCACCUCAACAAGGAAAGCCCUUCAGAUUGUAUUUAUCUACCGAUGGGAUGGUUAUCGGUUCAGCUUUGGUCCAAGAAUUUGAAGGGAAAGAGAGGGUAAUUUACUACUUGAGUAGGAAGUUGAUUCAUGCUGAAACCAGGUAUUCGGCCAUUGAGAAAAUAUGCUUAUGCUUGUAUUUUUCGUGUAUCAAACUAAGGCAUUACCUGCUAUCGGCCGAAUGCACUGUUGUUUGCAAAGACGACGUGGUCCGGUACAUGCUAUCCAUGCCGAUUAUGAGUGGCAGGAUCGGUAAAUGGAUUUUAGCGCUGUCGGAGUUCGAUCUACGUUACGAAUCGGCCAAGGCAGACAAAGGGUAGAUUAUGGCCGAUUUUGUAACUCAGCAUUGCGGUGUAGUGGAAGCCUUGGAAAUUGUACCCUGGACGCUUUUCUUUGAUGGAUCUACCUGUGACCGGGGGGCAGGAAUCGACAUUGUAUUAGUUUCCCCUAAGGGGAGGAAGUAUGAGUUUUCCUUGCCGAUUGUUGCCACGUCAACAAAUAAUCAGGCUGAAUAUCAAGCUCUGAUCAAGGGAUUGGAGUUGUUAAGAGAAGUUCGUGCUGAUGCCGUUGAGAUCUUCGGGGAUUCUAUGUUGGUCAUAAAUCAAUUGGCCGGGAGCUAUGAAUGCCGAAGUGAAGUUCUCAUAACUUAUUUCGAGAAAAGCAUGCAACUGUUAAAGGAAUUCAAGGAUUUCCGAUUAGAGUAUGUUCCCCGAUUGCAUAAUGAAGACGCCAAUCGUUUAGGUCAGCAUGCCUCGGGAUAUCAGCCUAUGAUUAAUGCAAUAUCGGUGAUCGGUGCCGAUGAUUGGAGGAAAGAAAUUAUUGAUUAUUUAAAAGAUCCAUCCAAAAAAGUUGAAAGACGAGUUCGAUUUCAAGCAACCAAAUAUGUGCUCCUCGAAAAUGAAUUGUAUUAUCGAACUAUUGAUGGAAUUCUUCUCCAAUGCUUAGGUGAUGAUGAAGCUAGAAGUUUGAUGGGAGAAAUCCAUGAAGGAGUGUGUGGAGCACAUCAGUCAGCUUUUAAGAUGAAGUGGAUGAUUCGAAGGAAUGGAUAUUUUUGGCCGACCAUACUCGAGGAUUGCUUUAAGUAUUUCAAGGGAUGUCAAGGUUGUCAAAAGUUUGGAAACAUUCAAAGAGCACCCGCGUCGGCUAUGAAUCCUAUCAUAAAGCCUUGGCCGUUCCGGGGAUGGGCUAUCGACCUGAUCGGCUAGAUUUAUCCACCAUCUAGCAAAGGGCAUAAGUUUAUUCUAGUUGCCACUGAUUAUUUCACUAAGUGGGUUGAAGCUAUUCCUUUGAAGAAAGUCACAUCGGCCAAUAUGAUUGUGUCGAGGGUAUCAACAAGGGGUACCCUCACCAAUGCGUAUAACCAGGCCAUCCGUACGAACGCGCGGCCAUCGACGGUCGCAGCUUCGAAGACGGAAAUGCCGUCGAGCGAAUCGGUCAAGGCUCGAGCGACCACUGCCGUCGAAUACGGAAGCGGGCUCGAGCGAACCGAGAGGCAUCGAGCGCAAGGACACUGUCCGCCGCCUGACGCGCGCAUGGGAGCCAGGGCAUUUAAUGCGCCUGACGCUUCCCCACCUAACACACGGGUCACGGGAGGCUUCUGUCCCAUCGUUCUUUUUGCAGCCUUCCCACCGAACGAUCAAGGGCGUGUCAGGACGCAGGGAACAAGGAUGGAACGUCUAAUCGGGACCCCCUCGAGACCUCCAAGGUCAGCGCUCCAGAUAUCAGCACAUUAUACGGCGUCCGACCCUCGACCGAACAGGGUCCCUUCCUAGGGGCAAGUUGGGCGUCGACUGACAACACCACAGCUACCCCGCCGGAUCCGCCGCCAUACCGUACCGGCAUGCGACCUCAGAACCAGCGCGAGGCGGCGGGCAGGGCCGAACGCAGGAGCACGCGUAAUCAUCACCGGGCUAUCAAGAUGGGACGGCUCGAGGCCAUGCCGUAUGGAAGCCUCGAGUAGGUCAGCGCUCCAUGCGGCUAUCGACCCCUACUCUAGCGUCUACGCAUGUACCCUGGGUCUCUCCUUGGAGCUAUAAAAGGAGAGACUCAGGGAUAGAACGGGAGGACGAAAACAAGGACACAAGACCGCACUCAUACGUAGUAGAGCUUCACACUUCAUACCACGCUUGUAUUCGCCCCUGUACAAGCACUUAGGUGCAAGAUAAUACAAACUCUCUCCCCCCGCUGGACGUAGGGCCUUCUCUUGCCCGAACCAGGAUAAAUCUCUGUGUCUUCUUGCAUCACCAUCCGGGAAAGGGAGCACGCAUACAAAUUUACUCGUUGGUGUGACCCCCCGGGGGAAAAACACCGACAGUUGGCGCGCCAGGUAGGGGUCCUGCAUGUUUUUCAUCGAUUUCCCACUCCUUUCCGGAUGGCUACUCUUGCCUCGCCGUUUCCGCGCUCCACGGUGAUUUGGUUUGGGAGUCUCGAGUUCAUGUCUACGGGCUCCGGCUACGACAUAAUCUUGCUCUCAGUCAAAGGACCAGAAGGAGCCCGCGUUACGCCAGCACGGUUGAAGGCCCCGAGACGCCCUCACCACCACGCCUCCCCGCCUAAGAAGAGGCGCAGACAGCACCACCGCGGCCCCUCUGCUUCAGCACGACCAACAGCUCGUGCGAGGCAGGACGUGGGCCACAAGGCGGCAGCACCAUGUGACGGAGCAACAAGCGCGACGACUCAGCACCGCGCGAUGACGGGAGGGGACGCGUCUCGCGCGCUCUCCCCCACCGCAGCUAGGCUACUUCCACACGGGUUGUUCUCUCCAAGGGCGGCACUGCCGUUUGGGUUGGACAACGCCGCGGCAUCGCUCGCCAGGGCGAUAUGCCCAAACGCCCAGACGUACGUAGAAAGACCAAUGGUCCUCCCACGUAGCUCUGAAGCGCGGCAGUCGGCGUCCGAGCUGCCGGACCUUUCCCGAGUACAAGGCCUCCGUCGUCUAGGCCCCGGACGAUACUCGAUCACCUCCCUUAGGCAACGAUUGCUGGAGGGAGGACGUGGGUGUUUCUACGCCGCCGAACCGGACUCCGACUCCGAGACAGACAGCUAUGACCCUACGAGGGAAUGCUAUCACAUCGACGGGGCGGUAGAAACUACUGACGAGACACGGGAUGCUGCCGCAGGUGGUCGAGCCCCCGCAGCGCGAGAAGACCCCAGGACGCCUGGGAACGACGGACAGCUCGACCCCUCUCCUCAGGAAGACAGGACCGCGCAGCUCGCGCAGCUGCGGGAGCUCAAGAUGAAGCUCGACGAAGACCGCGAGCGCCUCAUCCUGCUCGAGCAAAACCUCGAGCAAGACCUGCCCUACCCGCCGGGCGGAAGUGUCCGCAGACGCGCUCGAGAGGUACAUCGACAGAUCGUCGACGACUCAGAGCCAGAGCAACCUGUCAGCCGUUUCCCUCGAGCAGGCCAGAAUGUAGUGGCAGCGACGAUGCUGCUAAGUAACAUGCCAGAGCCGUCAAAUUCCCAGGCCCGAUGCAUUCGAGAUGAGGUACAGACAUUGCUCCAGGUGGCGGCGGUUCAACAAGCCGAAAGUUCGGCGUCUCGAUGGCGAGGAGCUGCCACAGAGAAGCGCGACGAACAGCCUCUAAAUGAAGAGGAGGUGUCAGUCCAACAACAACCUCCCCCUCGAGGUAGAAAGACCGCUCUCAUCCUCCCCGUCAACGGUCAACAUCGACACGACGCGCGGCACGGCAUCAAAGAAAAUCGACGCCGCCGGCACGGAGACGCGGAAGAGCGCGGUUAUAGCGCGCAUCGCGGUGGGAGAUACGACAGCGACGAGGACCGGGUGGCUCCCGAGCCACCAGGCCCACGGGUGUUCAGCAGGGCGAUCCGCAGCACGCCCCUGCCCAAUCCAUUUCGACCCCCGACCAGCAUCGCGAAGUACAAUGGAGAGACCAAACCAGAGUUGUGGCUGGCCGACUUCAGGCUGGCCUGUCAGCUAGGUGGCGCUCGAGGUGAUGAUCGAGCCAUCAUCAGACAGCUACCCCUUUUCCUCUUCGACACCGCCCGUCGAUGGCUCGAGGAACUCCCUGCCAAUCAGAUCCACAACUGGGUUGAUCUGGUCAGAGUCUUCGAGGGUAACUUCAAAGGGACCUACAUACGACCAGGGAACUCAUGGGACCUCAGCAAGUGCAAGCAGAAGUCAGGAGAAACUCUUCGGGAGUAUGCUCGUCGCUUCUCGAAGCAGCGCACUGAGCUGCCGCACAUCCCUGACCACGACGUCAUCUUGGCGUUUGUCUCGGGCACCACCAGCCGAGACUUGGUGCGGGAAUUAGGUCGCAAUCGACCUCAGACCGUCGACGAGCUGAUGGACGUAGUAGCCAACUACGCGGCAGGGGAGGAGGCAGUCGGCGCCUUCUUCAGCUCAGAAGGGAGGAAAGGCAAGCAGCCCAUCAACGAAGAUGGGACCCCCAGUCGAGGCCUCAAGAAAAACAAAAAGAAGCAGAAAGUGCGGCAGUUCCACCGGGAAGAUUCCGAUGACAACCUUGUCGCCGCCAUGGAUCGAAAGAAGCCUCGAGGCCCUCCGGAUGGAGGCAUCUUUGACAAGAUGUUGGAGGAGCCGUGCCCUUACCAUAAGGGAGGCGCCAACCACAAGCUCAAGGACUGUCGUAUGCUGAGAAAGCAUUUCGACGGUCAGGGGUCCAAAAAAGAUACGCGUGAUGACUCCAAGAAAGAGAAGGCUGGCAGCAAGGAGGACAACAAAGAUGACGAUGGCUUCCCCGCCGUCCACGACUGCUACAUGAUCUAUGGCGGGCCCUCGACUCAGUUGACCACGAGGCAGCACAAAAGGGAGCGUCGCGAAGUCUUUGCAGCAAGAAUGGCGGUGCCCCAGUACCUUAACUGGUCAAGCACUCCUAUCACUUUCGACCGAGAAGACCACCCCGACAAGGUAGUCGCCCCAGGCGUCUACCCGCUCGUCGUCGACCCCAUCAUCGUCAACACCCGGCUUUCGAAAGUGCUGAUGGAUGGUGGCAGCAGCCUCAACAUCAUCUACCUCGAGACCCUCGACCUCCUCGGCAUCGAUAGAGGACGCCUCCAGCCAAGCGCCGGCGGUUUCCAUGGCGUCGUGCCAGGGAAAAAGGCACUGCCAGUAGGACGAAUUGACCUAUCGGUCUGCUUCGGCACAGCGGCCAACUUCAGGAAGGAGACCCUCACUUUUGAGGUGGUUGGGUUCCGAGGCACGUACCACGCCAUCAUCGGGCGCCCGGGCUACGCCAAGUUCAUGGCCAUACCCAACUACACCUACUUGAAGCUGAAGAUGCCCGGUCCCAAAGGCGUCAUCACUGUCAGUUCCUCCUUCGAGCACGCGUACGAGUGCGACGUCGAAUGCGUCGAGUACGGGGAGGCGGUCGAGAGCUCCACCGAGCUCGUCGCGAAGCUCGAGGCCCUGGCCGCUGAGGCUCCAGAGCCUAAGCGCCACGCGGGCAGCUUCGAGGCGGCGGAAGGAACCAAGAAGAUCCCGCUCGACCCCAACGACUCCGACGGCAAAGUGCUGACGAUCAGCGCCGACCUCGACCCCAAAUAGGAAGCCGUGCUCGUCGACUUUCUCCGUGCAAAUGCCGAUAUGUUUGCAUGGAGUCCCUCGGACAUGCCAGGCAUACCGAGGGAAGUCGCCGAGCACUCCUUGGAGAUUCGAGCCGGUUCCAAGCCAGUAAAGCAGCGGUUGCGCCGAUUCGAUGAGGAGAAGCGCAAGAUCAUUGGCGAGGAAGUCCACAAGCUUUUGGCUGCCGGAUUCAUCAAGGAGGUUCAUCAUCCUGACUGGUUAGCAAACCCUGUAUUAGUUAAGAAAAAGAAUGGGAAAAUGAGGAUGUGUGUCGAUUAUACUAGUCUGAAUAAAGCAUGUCCAAAAGUUCCCUUUCCAUUGCCACGCAUUGAUCAGAUUGUCGAUUCUACCGCGGGAUGUGAAACCCUUUCUUUCCUUGAUGCAUAUUUUGGUUACCACCAAAUAAAAAUGAAGGAGUCCGACCAGCUCGCGACCUCUUUCAUCACGCCUUUUGGGAUGUAUUGCUACGUAACCAUGCCAUUCGGGCUUCGAAACGCGGGAGCCACGUAUCAACGUUGCAUGCUCCACGUGUUUGGCGAACAUAUAGGGUCCACGGUCGAGGCCUACGUUGACGACAUUGUCGUCAAGUCAAAGCGACGAGGAGACCUGAUCCAGGACCUCGAGAUUGCCUUUAGCUACCUACGCACCAGCCGGAUCAAGCUCAAUCCCGAGAAGUGCGUUUUCGGUGUACCUCGAGGCAUGCUCCUAGGUUACAUCGUUUCGCAGCGCGGCAUCGAGGCCAACCCCGAGAAAGUCUCGGCCAUCACGAAAAUGGGGCCGAUCCGAGACAUCAAGGGUGUACAGAGAGUCACGGGGUGCCUGGCGGCUCUGAGCCGUUUCAUCUCGAGACUAGGAGAAAAGGCAUUGCCAUUAUAUCGACUCCUAAAGAAGGUCGAGCGUUUUUCUUGGACCCCCGAGGCCGAGGAAGCACUCGAAAGGCUGAAGAAGACGUUGACCUCGGCCCCAGUCCUGGUUCCACCUCAACCUGCAGAGCCGCUGCUCCUCUACGUCGCAUCGACGACCCAGGUCGUCAGUGCGGCGGUGGUGGUCGAAAGACAAGAGGAGGGUCAUGCGCUGCCGGUCCAAAGGCCAGUCUAUUUCGUCAGCGAGGUGCUUUCGGAGACCAAGAUGCGUUAUCCCCAAAUCCAGAAGCUGAUUUAUGUCGUAAUCCUUGCCCGUCGCAAGCUGCAGCAUUACUUCCUUGGCCACCCCAUCACGGUGGUCUCGUCUUUUCCUUUAGGCGAAAUAAUCCAGAGCAAAGAAGCCACGGGAAGAAUAGCAAAAUGGUCGGUCGAGCUCAUGAGUGAGGCUCUCGCUUAUGCGCCUCGCAAGGCCAUCAAAUCGCAGGCCCUGGUAGACUUCAUCGCACAAUGGACGGACACCCAGCUCCCCCCGACCCAGGUCCAGGCGGAACUAUGGACGAUGUAUUUCGAUGGGUCGCUCAUGAAAACUAGAGCUGGAGCCGGCCUGCUAUUCAUCUCACCCUUGGGCGUCCACAUGAGGUACAUAAUCAGGAUUCAUUUUGCCGCAUCUAACAAUGUCGCAGAAUAUGAGGCCCUCGUCAACGGUCUCAAGAUCGCUAUCGAGUUAGGAGUCCGACGCCUCGAUGUCCGAGGUGACUCCCAACUCGUCAUCGACCAAGCAAUGAAAACCUCGAGCUGCCACGACCCAAAAAUGGAAGCGUACUGCAAGGAGGUCCGUCGACUCGAGGACAGGUUCCACGGCCUCGAGCUUGUCCAUGUCGCUCGACGCUACAACGAGGCAGCCGACGAACUCGCCAAGAUCGCAUCUACCAGAGGCACAGUGCCGCCUGAUGCAUUCUCAAAGGAUCUUCACGAGCCAUCCGUCGACCUAGGCACGGGGGCUGGCGUCGACGGCACCACCGCCCAACCAACCAAUGCUGUCGAUACGCUCUUGAUGGUGGAAGAGAUGAUGGAGAUAGAACGACGACCGGGUCGACCAUUCGAUUGGCGCACACCGUUCCUCGACUGCCUUAUCCGCGGCGAGCUGCCAGAAGACAAGAUAGAAGCUCGUCGUAUCGCUCGACGGGCCAAAUCAUAUGUGAUCUAUGGCGAAGACAACGAGCUAUAUCGACGGAGCCUGACGGGGGUCUUACAACGUUGCAUCACCGUAGAAGAAGGCCGAAAACUCCUCGAUGACCUGCACUCGGGGGCUUGUGGCCACCACGCCGCUUCACGGACCCUUGUAGGGAACGCUUUUCGGCAAGGCUUCUACUGGCCAACGGCUGUGGCGGAUGCCAUCGAGCUCGUACGCUCGUGUCAUGGGUGCCAGUUCUACGCCAAGCAGACGCAUCUGCCCGCCCACGCUCUUCAGAUGAUCCCCAUCACCUGGCCGUUUGCGGUAUGGGGGCUCGAUUUAGUAGGACCUUUACAAAAGGCGAAAGGACGAUACACCCAUUUGCUGGUGGCCAUUGACAAGUUCUCAAAAUGGAUCGAGGCUCGACCCAUCACCAACAUCCGCUCCGAGCAGGCCGUCCUCUUCUUCACCGACAUCAUCCAUCGGUUUGGGAUCCCCAAUGUCAUCAUCACCGACAACGGCACCCAGUUCACCGGCAGAAAGUUCUUGGAUUUCUGCGAUCAGCAUCAUAUCCGUGUGAACUGGUCUGCAGUAGCCCACCCUCGAACUAACGGCCAGGUCGAGCGUGCCAACGGCAUGAUUUUGCAAGGACUCAAGCCAAGGAUCUACAAUCGAUUGAAGAAAUUCGGCAAGAAAUGGGUCGAGGAGCUUUCCUCAGUCCUAUGGAGCCUUAGGACAACGCCAAGCAGGGCCACCAAAUACACCCCGUUCUUCAUGGUCUACGGCUCUGAGGCUAUCCUCCCCACAGACCUCGAGUACGGGUCACCUCGACUCAAGGCUUACAACGAGCAAUCGAACAAAGAAACUCAAGAAAACGCGGUCGACCAACUCGAGGAGGCUCGAGACAUGGCCCUCCUCAACUCUGCCAGAUAUCAGCAGAGACUCCGACGCUACCACGACAAGCACGUGCGCAAGAGGGACCUCAACGUAGGCGACCUUGUCCUACGACGCCGGCAAAGCAACCAAGGACGCCACAAGCUGACUCCACCUUGGGAAGGCCCGUAUGUGGUGGCCGAGGUCCUUAAGCCAGGAACAUACAAGUUGGCGGACGAAAAGGGGGCAAUCUUCACCAACGCAUGGAACAUGGAACAGCUACGUCGAUUCUACCCCUAGAAGUCCUAAACUUAUGUUCCUACAUUUUGUACGAAGACUUUGUAAACGAACGCAUGAAUAAAUAAAGUCUUUCUCUCGAGCGACUUCUUUUUGUGCUAAAAAUAGUUACGAGUCAUAGUCUCGACGUUAAAAGGGGAUGCCGACCAUGACCCAUCAUAGUCAGCACCCCCUCGGGGGCUACCAGGGGGACGACCCCCCCCCCAAGCGUCGAAAAAACCAAGAAGUUUUCUUUUCUUACUUAGUAAACCUUGCACGGCUCGAGUAGCUAAGGGGCCUCGAGCCCCCCAAAGGCCGAGGGAUAACGAGCCGGAGAACUCCCACGCCCCCGGGCUACGAAAACUCUACUCACUUCCUUACCCUUGAGGUAAUCGAGGUUGUUUUUUGACGAAAGAUCUAGCAAGGGAUACAAAUGUAGGAACAAAGAGAAAUAAAAGGACCUCGAGCGGAAAGACAAAUAAGCAUUUAACAAUUACAAAAAGACACCGUAUCGCUUAGCAACAAAAUCAACAAAAUAUCAUACAAGGGGCCCCAGGCGCCCUGAGCAGGCUCGCAGGCCUCAGUCCGCGGCACGAUCCUCACCGCCCUCGCCUCCGCCCCAGCUAGCCUCAGGAGGGAGCACCUCAGGCUUGAAGAGCUUGGCCAACCUUUCCCCAGGAGCCUCCGCGUCGUCGAUCAAGGCAUGGAGCCUCUCCUCGUUCUCCACGUCGGUCUUGGAGAUGUCGGUGACGAAGCCAUGGGACACCACCUCCAUGUCGUAGGAGAAGCCCGAGCAGACAACCGCCAUCGCCCGCUUCACCUCGAUGUGGAGGGCGUCCCGCACCCGAUCUCGCAGCGUCGCGCCUAUGUAGCACAACUGGUCGACCAGGGCGUCGCCUCGAGCGUCCUCCCUCGACUCAUCCAUAGGCUCGACCUCCCAAGAGGUCGAGAGAUCACUUAUCGCCGUCCGCACUCGACGGUUCAAAGCAACCUCCGCCUCGAGCUGAGCCUUGGCGUUGCGAGCCUCGGCUUGGGCGGCCAGGAGUUCGUCCUUGAGCCCUGUAAGAGCCAAUAUAAAGAGACCUUAGGAAAAACCAAGCACACCUCGAAAAAGAAAUUCGACAAAGGAAACAUACCUUUGAUGCUCUCCUCUAGGGCCGUGUUCUCGCCGACCAAUCUGGUGUUGGCACGCUCGAUCUCUCUGUUGGAGCGCGCCAGCUCAGUAUUGGCGACGCGGAGAUCUUCGAUCACCCUGCCAGCCUGAGCAACGGCUCCACUCUUCUCCAGCAAUUCUCCCUUCAGACGCUCGACGUCGUCAGAGAGACUGCGGGAUCGAGCCCGCUCUGCCUCGAGGUCUUCGAGGGCCUUCUUCUUUACGUCCUCGGCGGCACCCCUUGCGACCUCACUGUCCACGUACGCCACUUUCAUCUUCUGGAAAGAAUCGCGGAGGGAGUCCAGGUCGGUCUUGAGAAGGCCCUUCUCCUUGUACAGGUCCGCAAUGACGCUCUUGUAGGACAGGGCCUCCUCCCGGGCUCUGGACGCGGCCUCCUCGACCGCAAGAGCCCGCUCCCGUAGCUGCAUCGCCUCCUCCUCCGUCUUCUUCGAGGCCUCUCGGGCCUCGGCCAAAGCAGCCUCCCUCGCCUUCUUCUCCUCCUCGAGUGCUAUGAGAUCUUUGUAAGCUUUAAGGAGCUUUUCCUGCGACUCGAGGAGUUGAUCCUUGAGGAGGGGGAGCUGCUCCCAACCGCCCCUCGUGGCGUGUAUGAAGCUGGACUUGAUGCGAGAGGUCUCUUUCAUAUCCUGUGAAUCAAGGGUCGGAUGGAUUAGAAUACAGAAACCAGAAAGCACCAUGAAGAUUGGAGUUCGAGAAACACUUACAAAAUAAGCAGGCCCGAGCCCGUUGUUGAUGACGUCCGAUAGGAGCCCCACCACAUGCUUCAUCCAAAGGCGGAGCUCCUCGACAUGCUCCCACUUCUCGACCUCCUUCUUGUCGUCGAGGAAGAUAUUGGGCUCGGACGGGUCGGUGGAAGCUCGGAUACGAAUCCGAUCGGGACACCAGUUCUCCAUCUCCCGAUCAGCCCGCGCCUUGACGCCGCGGAUAAAGUUCUCGACGGUCUCGAGGGAACCCCCGUGGCGCAAGAACAGGUCGGCGAGGCAAGGAAACCGCCCGUCGUCAUCCACCGUCUUCCAGGUACCGUCCUUGCUCCCUGACGACCCAAUCUCAUCCUCCUCAGAGGGAAAGUGGUCCUCCCAUGCUCGACGCUCCCGGAGGAACCCUGGGGCGAUCCCGUCCAUGCCGUAGAUCGUCCUCUUGAUCUCGGACUCGGGGUCGGUGGGGGUGUGCAUCAUACAGGCGAGCGCCACCACUCCGUCCGCUCGCCCCGACUCUGCCCGGAUCGCGGCAGGCGCCCCCGGGAGGAGCCACGCUGGGGUGGGAGGGCCAUACACCGGCAAAUUUUCCUCCUGAUCGCCCAGCUCUUGCGGCGCCAGUGGCGCUGGUUGGGCCAAACCUUGAGGCGGGGGCUCGAGUGGCUCGUCCUCUUGGCCCCCCUGCUGCUGCUGCUGUUGCUGCCCCUGCUGCUGCUGCUCCUCCUGCUGAUGCUGCAGUUGCUCCUCCGGCUGGGGUUGUUGCUGCUGCUGCUGCUCCUGUGGCUGCCGCGCCGCCUCGCGCUCCCGCUGUUCAUCCUCCUCCCUCUUCUUUUUCUGCUCCUCGAGGGUGCGGAGGCCGGCGGGCCAGGGAGUUGAUCCCCCGACAUGAGGAGUCGAUGUUUCCUCCUCCAUGGGGCGGGCACCCCCAGACGCUCCGUCACCAUCAGACGUGUCGCUGAUGGUGAUGGGUUCCCCCUCGACCCUCAAUCUAGGGGGCUCGGGGGCUCCCUCUGACGCUUGCGUCUGGGGCGCCUCAUCACGAGUCGGCGGCAACGGAGUAGGCGCGGGACGAGGCGGAGCCCUCUCGACGCCGGCUGGAGGUUGGGAGCUGGAGGAGCCUACGAAACAAAGGGUAAGGGUCAGACGUUACGAUAACCGACACAGGAACAUCGCAACGCCCAGAAAUAAACUACGAACCAGGUUCCUUGGAGGCGGCACCCGUUCUGAGCUUCUUUGCCAUGGAUGGCUGGGCCUGCUCAAGGGUCCGUUUCAGCCUGAGAAAAGGUUGGCAUAUGAGGAAAGGUGGAAGAAUGGGAAGACAAAAACCGCAACAUCAAAAAGGCUUACCCCACAGGGAGAACGGCUCGCCUUCCACCACCCCGACCAGUGGGCCUCGAGCCACCCCGCGUCGGGGCUCCAGGCCCCUCGAGGGCAGGCACUGGCUUAGGCGCGUUGGUCCCCGCCUGGCGGGCACCGGGACUGGCGCUCCUACGGCCGGCAUCUCCUUUCUCAGAGGCCGCGGCGCGACCACGAGUUAGUGGCCCCGACGCCUGGGGCCUAGCCAGACUGCUCUCCCUGGGCACCGGGGGAGGGCGCGGUGCGUCUUGGCUCGCCUUGGGCGCGGGAGGGGUGUCGGCCCGGGGGCGACGAGAUCCGCUCGGACCCUCCUCUGGCGCCUCCGUCCGGGGGGCAUCGACGUCACCUCGAGGCGGGCCCUCGAGAAUCCGAUCGAGGCGCGACGCCAUCCCCUCGGAAUCGUCGCUGUCCUCGUCAUCAUCGUCAUCAUCGUUAGGGGAUUCCUCCUCAGGCUCCCCCCUCUGCCUGGAUUUGGCUCGACGCGCCUCUAAUGCUUGGCGGUCGAGGUUUUUCUUCUUCUCCCCCUUCUUUGCAGAGUCCUUCGCAGACUUUAGCUUUUCGGCAGAUUGGCGCCGUUUGUCACGAUCGACCUCGUCCUCCUUUACCGGAGGCCUCGAGGACCGGACAUCAAUCCGACCCUGCCAAAAUUAAGGUGGACAUAGAAAAAAGAGAGGGGAGAAAGGAAACCCAGAGUCGAGGCUGCGCGCAAGAAGAAAGUGUACCAGAUCGAUCGAGCCUGCGUCAGGUCUCAUGGGGAAGCCGUUAACAUGCUCCGGCUGAAAAUCACCGGCAAUUGCAGCCCUGACUCGGGCCGCGACUUCGUCGUCCGCCGGAGCCUCAUUGGACAUCCGACACGCCUCGAGGUCCCGAGAGGAGACGCCAGGGCCCAUCUCGUCCAUCCUCAACGGUCGUGACAUCAGAGGGAGAACUCUCCGGUGAUGGACGGCCGAGAGGACGAGAGCGGCGGUCAAACCCUCCUGGCAAAGCUUCUUCAGGGCGUCGAGGAGGGGGUCGAGCCGAGAUUGAUGAGCUUGGACGACGCCGUAUGUCCAGUCCGCUGGACGCUCCAAGAUCAGACGGCCCGAGUAGGAAGGCAGGAGGUUGUCGUCGUUCCGCAGGUAAAACCACUGGGAGUCCCAGCCGGCGUGGUUGGUCGACAACCCUACCGGGAUGUACUCCCGCGGCCUGUCCAUCUUCCCCGUCUUCUGCACCAGAUUGAGGCAUCCCGCCCGCACGGGCUUCCUUACGCCCGUGGUUCCGGUGGGGGCGUGGAAAAGCUCGCCCCUGUAGAGGUGGAGCCACAGCUCCCAGUGCGGCAUCAUCCCUAGGUAGCCCUCACACACGGCGGCGAAAACCGCCGCUACGGUGAUGGCGUUCGGAGAGAAGUGCUGGAGCUCGACCCCAUAAUGGAAGCAGAGGGCCCACAUGAAGCGGCUCGGGGGCGCGCCCAGACCAUGGCGGUGGAACUUGGCGAACGACACCACGUAGCCCUCAGGCGGCUGAGGCCCCCUGUGACUCGCCGGCGGCGCGAUCCACUCCGGCGACGAUAGCGAGGUGCGGCGGCGCAGCAGUCCCUCUUUCUCAAGCUCUAACAGCCGGCGCUCCGUCAUCGACGACGGGCGCCAGUCGUCGGCGGCGACGAGUCUUACAGGCAUCUCGGCUGGAGGGACGGUGGAUUCACUACAGCUCGAGGAGGCGUGUGCUCGUGAGACGGCGAGAAAGCAAAGGCAACAAGAGAAUAAGAGCGAGAAGGCGGAAGGGAGAAGAACGGCGGCGACGCGACGGCGUAUUUAUAGGCAGCAGUCCGCCAACGGACAGAUCCGAGAAAUAAGGUAACUCCCCCCAUAAAUGCGCCGUCUGACAGUCCUUUCUCUCCUCACAGGCCGGACUCUCCGAAUUCCCCGCCGAUACAGUGUCGCAACGUCACCCGCCUAAAAAGGCGCGCCCAACGGGCAGAAAGGCGAACCGCCACGGCCACUUCCUUACUUCGUAAGCCAAGGUAUGCGCCCACAAUAGUCUCGAGAGGUCGAUGGCUGGCCCGUCGAAAGGGUUCGACAGCCGAUCUCGAGCGCCAAGAGUCAGGGAUCCCCAGCGAGUGGUCGAAAAUCGAGGCCCGCCUCGAGGGCUCGCUGGCGAUGUCUAAGGUAGGGUCGAGACAGUCGAGAGGAAUCCCCCCGAAGGGAGGCAUCGAGCCGCUGGACUCUAUCGAAUGAGACCGGUAUCCCCGACCACGUCGACCCUGCUUUAUGAGGACGCCUCCGGGCUACAGCUGACCCCCUCGAAAGGGGCACAGGUUCUCAUUUGGACUACCCGCUAGGAACUCAAUCUGGGGUGGAAGACGCUCGCUCUAUCGAGAGUACGUCGAAACCUCCACGCAAGGCGAAGCCGAACAGAACCUUCCACCACGGGUGUUGACAGGGUUUCUGCAAUUUUGGCAAAAUAACCCUCGAAGGAGUUGAAUACUCCCUCGAGGGCUCGGGGGCUACCCCCGCGGGAUCGCUCGCGCGCCCCCGUGGAAGCUCGACCGUAAAAACGAAAGUCUCCACUCGAGCGCCAGCGCUCGAAUGAAGACUCGGGGGCUACUGUCGAGGGUAUCAACAAGGGGUACCCUCACCAAUGCGUAUAACCAGGCCAUCCGUACGAACGCGCGGCCAUCGACGGUCGCAGCUUCGAAGACGAAAAUGCCGUCGAGCGAAUUGGUCAAGGCUCGAGCGACCACUGCCGUCGAAUACGGAAGCGGGCUCGAGCGAACCGAGAGGCAUCGAGCGCAAGGACACUAUCUGCCGCCUGACGCGCGCACGGGAGCCAGGGCAUUUAAUGCGCCUGACGCUUCCCCACCUAACACACGGGUCACGGAAGGCUUCUGUCCCAUCGUUCUUUUUGCAGCCUUCCCACCGAACGAUCAAGGGCGUGUCAGGACGCAGGGAACAAGGAUGGAACGUCUAAUCGGGACCCCCUCGAGACCUCCAAGGUCAGCGCUCCAGAUAUCAGCACAUUAUACGGCGUCCGACCCUCGACCGAACAGGGUCCCUUCCUAGGGGCAAGUUGGGCGUCGACUGACAACACCACAGCUACCCCGCCGGAUCCGCCGCCAUACCGUACCGACAUGCGACCUCAGAACCAGCGCGAGGCGGUGGGCAGGGCCGAACGCAGGAGCACGCGUAAUCAUCACCGGGCUAUCAAGAUGGGAGGGCUCGAGGCCAUGCCGCACGGAAGCCUCGAGUAGGUCAGCGCUCCAUGCGGCUAUCGACCCCUACUCUAGCGUCUACGCAUGUACCCUGGGUCUCUCCUUGGAGCUAUAAAAGGAGAGACUCAGGAAAAGAACGGGAGGACGAAAACAAGGACACAAGACCGCACUCAUACGUAGUAGAGCUUCACACUUCAUACCAGGCUUGUAUUCGCCCCUGUACAAGCACUUAGGUGCAAGAUAAUACAAACUCUCUCCCCCCGCUGGACGUAGGGCCUUCUCUUGCCCGAACCAGGAUAAAUCUCUGUGUCUUCUUGCAUCACCAUCUGGGAAAGGGAGCACGCAUACAAAUUUACUCGUUGGUGUGACCCCCCGGGGGAAAAACACCGACAGAUUGAUUUUGUAAAGGAGCAUAUUAUUUACCGAUUUGGGAUCCCUCAAACGAUUACUACCGAUCAGGGCACUAUGUUCACAUCGGGGGAGUUUGAUGAAUUCGCAAUCGGUAUGGGGAUUAAAGUGUUGAAUUCUUCUCCUUAUUAUGCUCAAGCCAAUGGGCAGGCCGAGGCGUCUAACAAAGGAAUUAUCAAGCUUAUUAAACGAAAGAUUCAAGAAAAUCCUAAGCGGUGGCAUACAUUAUUAAAUGAAGCAUUCUGGUCUUAUCGGAUGGCUUGUCAUGGAUCAACCAAGGUGUCACCUUAUCAAUUGGUGUAUGGACAUGAUGCGGUGUUGCCUUGGGAAAUUAAGGCUGGAUCUAGGCGAUUAUCUUUUCAAGAUCAAUUAACUGCCGAUGAUUAUGCCACUUUGAUGACCGAUGAAUUGGAUGAUCUAGUAGGGCAUCGGUUAAAAGCUUUAAUGAGUAUAGAAGAAAAUAAGAAGAGAGUUGCUAGAUGGUAUGAUAAGAAAGUGAAGGCUAAGGAGUUUGCCGAUGGGGAUUUGGUAUGGAAAUUAAUUUUGCCAGUUGGGACUAAAAGUUCGAAGUUUGGAAAAUGGUCUCCUAAUUGGGAAGGUCCUUAUCGGAUAAGUCGAUCGGCUCCUGGUAAUGCUUAUAUUCUAGAAACUCUCGAAGGAGUUGAAUUUCCCAGAGCAUUAAAUGGCAAAUAUUUAAAGAAGUACUACCCUAGCAUAUGGGUCGAUGCAUAAAAGUUUAAAUGCCGAUAACACUCCUAUCGGCUGGAUUGAAGUGUAUCUGGGGAUGGACUUAAUGUUUCAAAAGAUGCCGAUAACAGUCCUUUCGGCUAGACUAAGACUUUAAGAAAGUUGAAAUGCAGAAAAGCAAAGGUGUGUUGCCGAUGAGAGCUUCAGAUAUUCAGCAGCGCUUGGAUUGCCGAUAUGGCGCGUAGCCGGAUCUGGUUGGCUGUUUCUAUCUCUUUGGUAUCAUCAUCGGCAGAACCUUCUAUCGGCUUCAGCUUCUUCUUCAACUGAAGCGCUUUGCGACCGUGGGCAUUUCGUUCUUGCUCGAGGUGCUUGAUAGUCUCCGGCAGUUGGCUCUCUUCUUGCUGGGCCUGAGACAAAGCAUCCUCUACUUGCUUGAGUUCGGCCAGCAGGGCUUCUCUUUUUGCCGAUAGAUCAGAGAUUUUCUGCUUCAAUGCAUCACCUGAGGACUUUAAGGUGCCGAUGUUCUUAUGCUUCUCUUUGGCCAAGAGUUUUUCUUUCAUCAUCCCCUCAGAAAGAUGGGUUUGAGCAGUUCUAUUGGCAAGGCGCCGAAUGGCUCUUUGGUACUGCAGCUGGCGGCUUUCCAGAUGUGCAGCCUGGAAGAGGGUUUCUUCGGCAUCGGCAGGAAUUUGGCCUCUAAGGGUCUUGAACAGGGCCUUGGCUGGGUCAGAAUCGUUGACCAGUUGAGUUGUGUCUUGAUGAAGUAUGGCCGAUAGCUCUUCUAGCUUAGCCCUGGUUUCUGCCGAUACAGUCCCAACUGCCCGAGAGGAGCUUGCUUCUUCACCUUCUUCUUCAGAGAUAUCAAUGGCGAAGGAGAAUAAGCUGUCGGGAGAAUCUUAUUCCUGAAAAUGAGGAUGAAAUGAGUCAUUUUUAUGGUCGAAGCUUCGCCAAACAAUAUCGAUGGGAAGUUGGGUGACUUACUUGCUUCAAGGCGAUCUCUUGCCUUGGACUGGGAGGUGCUGACGGAGCUGCAGGCUGAUCGGCCAAAGAUGUCGAUGGAACUUCAGGUUGAUCGGCUAAGGUUGCCGAUGAGAUGAUAUCGACUGAAAGAAGUCAAGAAAGGUUAUGAGACUAAAUGAGAAUAAGUUCAUCGGCAACAGUAUUGUCAAAAUAUGUUACCUGAAGAAGGAACAACAGUUGUCUGAAUCGGGGGAACCGCCGAUGAUGUAAUUGGACCCACCGGGCCAGUUGUUUGUUCACCCACAUCAGCCGAUGUACCUUCUGUUUGAGGUUCUUCCUGCUGGGGUUCUUCCAUCUGUGGUGCUUCCUGCAUUGGUUGGGGAGACGAUGCUUGCUGUGUCUGGGCUUCUGGAGAAGGAGAGGGCUCCACCGGAAUUGGAGACACCGGAGGAGGAGGGGGAGUUGCUACCUUCUGGCGCUUUGUUCCAGUCUUAGCACCUUUGGUGCCCUUUCUCUUUGGUUGGCUAGACUGGGGGGCAUCGGCACUUUCACGCUUGGCUUUUGCCGAUGCACCGGUUUGCUGCAAUAACGAACAAGGGUUUAUAAGCAUAAAUAUAGCCGAUAUAAAGAUAGUCAGCGUAAAAGAAAAAGAUUUGACAAAUUGCCUUGAAAGCCCGCGCCAGAGUGGGAGCAGCUACCGUUGGUGAUGUCUGGGUUCUCCUGGUGGUGACUUUCCUGAGGCGCACACCCCGAUGCACGAUGGAAGCCAGAGUGGGAGCAUUGUGGCCGAUUGAGGAAAUCGGGCCUAAUGGAAACAAGUAGAUCGGCUUGCCACUCCUGCUAACCGAUGAGGGGAUGUUGUCAACCUGUAAAAGGAAUACAAGGGUAAGCUACCGAUGGAAAUAAUAUUGAGAAAAUGAAACAUCGGUUUGAGAUACUUACAGUGUCAUCGGGAACUUUGUAUUCGGAGUCGAUCAUGCCGCGGUAUGAAAGGGCCGAUCUGCAGAAUAGAUGCUCUUUCCAUUCUGCCCACCAUAACUUGUAUGCCUGAGUGAUAAAGGCAGCUGGGACCCAUUCUGACAGAUCUACAUCUGUAUCGGCAUUUGGUGGUAGUUGGGCUACUCGAAUCUACUCAAGAAAGUUGGUGAUGGGUUCUCUGGGUUUUAUCACAUCGGCAUAAGGAAGUGCAAUCGGCAACUGGCCGAAAGCUAGCUGACGAGCUAAUGCCGAUGGAUUGUAAAAUUCAUAGGUUUGGGGGGAGGUUUUUGUGCUACCAAAGAAAUUCACUGGUAUUACUCUGGGAGUCACAAUUGCCAUCAUCACCUCAUUAUCCCUGUCAAGAGCUUCAUCAAAUGGAUUGAAGGUUAGAGGGAGCAUACUGUCUAGGUCAUCAUAAGCCAACCAUGGUCGUUCAUCUCUGGCCAAACCCUCAUACAGAGUCUGGAAGAAUUGGCCGAUCUGAUCCGGAUUACUCCCUGAACCAGGUAGAACUAUGACAGCUUCGCCAAAGUUCAAGGGGGCACGUGUUGCCGAUUCCUCUUCACCCAACACAUGAUUUUCGGCUAUAUCUCUUGGGAAGUGCUGUGUGAACAAGUUGAAAUCAAGGCGCUUAUGCAGGUGCAGAUUGAGCCACAUGUUAAUAAACCACCAAGGGCCUCCCAAGUUGCCGAUGGACUGGCCAAGCAGGAGUUUCUGGGCUACCUGAUGGAGAAGAUGGUAAACAGCGCCAAGCAAGUAUCGGCCGAGAGGAAAUUGGCCACCGUUAGCCAGUCUCUCUGCUGCCGAUAGAUAGACGGAAGUCGGUCUUGCCGAUCGACCACAGAAUACAAACUUGUCCAGCCACAUGUUCAGAAAGGUGGUUUGCUCCUUUAUGGUGACAGGCCCUUUCCCACGGUACUUCUGAAUGUACCCUGACCAACCGCCGAUAGCGCGAGUCUCCACUUUGGCACUAGGGGCAGUAUCAAAAAAGUGGGUGCUAUCGGCAGAAGAUAUAUCUAGACCAGUGAGCAUGGCUACAUCGGCAAGGGUAGGAGAAGCAGGGCCGUGCCCAAAGACAAAAGCAUUGAGGGUGUCGGACCAAAAGUAGGACGCAGCUAUCAGCAGUGACUCGUUCCUGUGCAUAUCGGCAAUGGAUAACCUAAUGCAUUGGGCUAGCUUCCUUUCGCCCCACUGGACUUCAUAAGAAGUGCUGACUCUCAAGAACCAGUCUUUCCACCCUACGGUAGGGCUAGGCCAAGACCGGAAGGUGUCUUUCCACAGAUCUGAAGAAAAAUUUUUGGCUCUAAAGGGGAUCCUGUUGGUUUCUGCAUUGAUAAGGUCAGUUGGAUCUGGAUCUCCUAGAGGGCCGAGACAUUGGAGGUGUGGUUGAUCGGUGGGGAUGACAAUUUUAUUGGACAACUCCUAGUGAUUUUGGGUGAAAAAGAAAUACACAAAAAAAAGGGAAAAGGAAGAUAUUCAGUAAAAUGAAUGAACAGGGAUACGAGGAAAAUAUACAGGAGACGGGAUGGAGAUCUGACCUCAGGAACGACGAAGCUAAUGGCCAUCUUGCCGUGAAGAGAGCCUUUGAGGGCACCAGAGUUGAUGAGUAGGAGUGCUUGACGGAGGUCUUAGGAGUUUCGAAUGGCGCCGCCGCUGGAAAAGUAAGGUUGGGUGCUGGAAUGAUGUGAUGGGGAAGGAGUACCCGAGAAGGAACUAUUUAUAGGACAAAAUGGGCAAGGGCAAAUCUGACUUGUCUCUUUGCCGCAUCCGAGAAAUCCAAGGGUACUCAGGUAGAUAUGGUAACUGUUCGCACGAUAAUCGAAGGAUUACGCAGGUGAUUUGAUGGGAGGUGGUCAUUAUCUGAAGAUAUUUUACUGUGCGAGAUCUCCUGGUCGGUCCAUCAGCAGCGUUCUAUAACGGUCAUAUUGCCGAUGGGCGGAUAGAGGGGAGGUAGCCGUUUGUACGAACAUCCUGGUCAGUACAUCGGCAGAUCUUUGUAACGGUAUUAUUGCCGAUGUACGGUUGAGAGAGAAAUACCCGUUUAGGAAGUUGGGGAUUUCGAGGAAUCUGCGGAGGAAUAGGAUCAGAAUUGUUCAGAUUGAGGUUGUCGGUUACCAGAUUAGGAGCAUUAAUUGCGGGAAAAGGUAUCAUUACUGCAGAGAAUUUCGGAGCAUUAAUAGUUUUAUACUCCAAAAUUGGGGGGCAUGUGUUGACACCAUUUUUGGGCACGUGUCUAGGAUGACGGGAUAAGGUGGCAGUAUGCUGUUUACAGGGUGAGUUGCCGAUGAGUAUGGUUGCCGAUGAAGGAGAGGUUGAAUGUGACUAGGUCCGCAGGCAGUGAUGUGUUUAUGCCGAUGGCUAUAAUGGGGGAGUCUGCCGAUGACCAUGGUAAGAAGUCUGCCGAUGACCAUGGUAAGGAGUCUACCGAUGAUACGGAGGAGGAGUCCGGAAACUGCUGAUCAGUUUAUGGAAGAAUUUUAGUUCGUCACGGGAGAUAGUUUUGUUAUUUCCUUAUUUAUUUAAGUUGUUUUGUAUACGGAUUCCGUGCAAUUUGGAAUUCGAAUUCUAGUCGUGUUUAAUUGUAGCUCUUUGAGCAGGGUAUAAAUAUGAACCCUAGGGCCUUGUAAUGACAUGAAUCUAUCAAUCAAUCAAACAUACGUUUUUACUCAUAUUCCAGCAUCUACUUUUCGACGACUUCAUCAUACUUUUUCCUUUUAUUACGAGUUCUUAGGAAUUCGUCGACUUAAGCUCGGCGUGUUCUCGAGUUCCGCAUGAGUACCUCUUAGCCGUGACAUCCGGGCGCAUCGCUGUUGUCAGGACUAAAGUAUUCGAGUUAUCACCUUUGCCGAUAGUAAGGUCAAAUCGGCUGGCACGCCUUAACGUUUGAAUCGGGUAUUAGCCCUUUGUGUUUGCAGAUCAGUUUUUGCAUCAACACUAAUAGUAUACCAGGUGAAGUGGGUACUUUACUAAUAGCAGCAUAUAAAAGUUGUAAAUCUCCAACUCUUACUUUCCUAAUAUCGUCACGAUAGAAAAUAUUGUACCCAAGCCAUUUGUGGAACAUCCUAAGAGUGGGGUGUUCCAUGUCACUGGUUCGGGCUUGACUGUAAAAAUUAUCUCUAGAUAUUUCUCUCCAAAACUGGUGUCUCCCAAAAUUGGGUAAAUCGGAGUCAAUGUUUAGGAUGCAUCUUGAAGAGAAACCAAGAUGGUCGCUCAGCUCUCUCCAAGAUAACAUAAUUUCCUGUUCAAACAUCCGAAAAACAAUUCCCCCCUCAUAGUAUUGUAAAGUGCAAAGAAAUUCGAGGGUGAGAAGACGAGAACCCAGCUCAGUUAUAUUCCAAAAAUUUGUCCAACCCAUCAUCUGAAAAAUUAAAUCAAAUUCAGUGUCCAUACCUGUUUCUCGUAGUAGGAUUGGAUCGAUAGUAGGGGUGUGAAUGAAAUCUUUGUUCUUCAAUUGCUGAUAGACUUCCUUCUCUCUUCGGGUCUUCAGUCCUAGGUCUCCUAUCUUGAGAAGGACCUUAACUUGCUGACCUGAUGAAGAUGACGGAGCUUGUGUAGGUGUCGGGUCGACGCUCAUCUCUGAUGGUUGUGAGGAGUGUCGGGAUGAACUCCUUGUACCAAUGUUCUUGAUAGCCUUCCCUGCAUUCUUUACCUUCUUAAACAUCCUGCAAACAAAAGUUGGCAAAAACACAACUGGUGGAAAAUGUGAGAUAAAAUGUUAGUGGUCAGCUGUCCGGAGUGUCAGUAGUCCAGGGGUUAAUCGUUCAAGACAAGUUUCUAUUUUGGUAGAGCCUCCCCUAAACAAUUUUUACUUCCGCUUAGACAACAGGAUCACUACCUGCUAGGUGACAAUCACUCUCUCAAAAGAACUCCAACCUUCUUUUCCACUCUCCUCUUUCUCUCUACUCUCUUCUCUCUACUACAAAAGCUCCUUCUCGGGACUGAGAUUUGUGUGGUUUUCUGAAGUGUUUGUGUGAAGAGAAGGGGAGCUGGAGGUGGCCUUUUAUAAGCUGAGCAGGGGACAGGGCGGGUGCCCAAGGUAGGUGGGCGGGCGCCCACCCCUGGUGUCCAUCCUGGGUGUGCUUCCUCUACUUGCUUCCUUGCUUUGAUCUUACGCAGAAUAAUGUUGUGUUGGUAGUGGUUGGACGGUGGAAAGAUGUCAGGUGAGUGGAAACAUAUUGGUGGAUGAAAUUAUAUGAUGGGAUGUAUGUGAGGUGAAGUGUAUGACAUGUGGGACCCAAAGAAUGUGGGUCAUGCUUCUAGAAGAUCAACAUAAAUAAAUAUAAUGCAGGAAAAUCUAUGAGAAUUGAAAAUUAAAAUGAUAAAGGAAAAUAUAUUUUUGUGCCUCCACAAUAAUUAAUAAAUAUGGGUUGUAACACACCAUGAAUAUUAUUUAUAUGGGGCUUUUUGAUUAUUAUAAUUAUGCUAUGAAUAUAUAUGACUAAUGCAAGAAUUAAUUAUGCAAGAAUUUAAAUAUGAGAAAAUUAAUAAUGCGAAUAAAUACCGAUUUACCUCCCGGUGAGGGUUUGGGAUUUUUAGGUCCCCCAAGCUGGACCUCCAAAUCUUUUAAUCUUCUAAGUUUCCUUCCUCUGGAGAUGGUGUCUCCAGUGGUUCUUCAUGAACUUCCUGCACUGUAGAGUCUCUCUCUGGUCUGGGUUUGAAUGUGAAGUGUUCUUCUUGACCGUUUAUGUUGAACUUAAUUUCUCCUUUCCCGACAUCAAUGUGGGCAUUGGCAGUGCUCAGAAAUGGCCUUCCAAGGAUGAUGGACACUUUUGAGUCAGGACUCAUGUCCAGUACUACGAAGUCUACUGGCACCAGGAAAUCUCUGAUCUUGACUGGAAUGUUCUCGGCGAUGCCCAACGGGUGUCGAACCGAUUGAUCCGCUAGUUGUAGGCACAUUGAUGUUGGUUCUAAAGUUGCAUGCUCAAGCUUUUUGUAGACUGAUGCUGGCAUCACACUGACACUUGCUCCGAGAUCACAAAGUGCAUUGUUGAAGUGUUGGUUUCCGAUCGAGCAAUCGAUAGUGGGGCAUCCUGGAUCUUCCUUCUUCUUUGGUGGUUUGUUGAGGAUGGCCGCACUACAUUCUUCUGUCAGCUUGAUAACCUCAGUGGUGGGCAGUGGCCUCUUCUUGUUAAGAAUAUCUCUGAUGUACUUUGCAUAUGUAGGUACCUGUAUGGCAUCGAGCAGAGGUAUGUUGACAUAUAAUUUCUGAAUGACCUCUACAAACUUACCAAACUGCUCAUCUGACUGCAGUCCUCUGUUUCUUCUGGGAAAUGGCAAAUAGUUGGUGUCGUAAAAAUCUUUCCUCAUUUCUCCAGUUCUUGGUGGUUGUGGCAGAUCUUCUGCUCCAACUGGGCUUUCUUCUUCUAUCACUGCUGGUUGCACUGGUGCUGAUGUUCUUUGUUUCUCUUUUGGGUAUGGUGGAUCUCUGGUAGCUUUACCUCCUCUAGUAGUUAUAUUCUUUACCUGCUCAAGGUUAGUAGCAACAGGCAGUGCAGCAGCUAUCCUUAUUAAUUUAAGCUCUACCCUUUUAUUAAGAGUGUUUUGUUCAACAAAGGCAGUUAGUAGAAAAUCCAUUUUAUUGUGUAUAUCUUUUAGAGACGAUUCAUUUGUAUCUAGCCUUUGUUUAACUUCAUCAUUAAUUUUGGUUUGUUGAGCAAUUAUCUCUUUUAAUGAAAGUUGCUUGAUAGUAUUACCUGAAUUCAUACCUUUGCUAUUGGGUUGACUCGAAGUUGGUUGAUAUUUGUAUGCUGUCUCAAUAGCCCUUUGAUCUUCUUUGAACUUGGCCCUCUGGUCAAUCCAAUGGAGCAAAUUUUCCAUCUUAGUUGAUAAUGCAUUUACUUCUUCUGGUAUUUCUUCAGUUUGAUGACAUUGUUGAGUUUUAUCUUGGAACCAGCUUUGAUUUUCUUCUAUCUUAUCCAAAAGUAUCUUUGCUUUUCCAGUUGUAAGCUCCAAGAAUGAUCCUUUAGCAGAUGCAUCUAGGCACUCACGAGCCUUCUGGGUUAAUCCAUGAUAGAAGGUCUGCAUAAGUAACCAUGUGGCCAUUCCAUGGUGAGGACAAUCUGAUAUGUAUCCUUGAAAACGCUCCCAUGCUUCUGAAAUGGCUUCUGUCUUUUGCUGUUGGAAAUUGACAAUAUUUCCUCUUAAGGCAGUUGUUUUGCCUAUAGGGAAAAACUUUGAUAGAAAGGCAUCUGACAAGUUCGUCCAGUUGUUGAUGUUAUCUUGAUGAGUGUAGAACCACUUCCUCGCUUUUCCUUCUAGUGAGAAUGGAAAAGGGCGAAGCAGUAUGACGUCUUUGUCAACUCCGUUGAUGUGGACUGUGCUUCCAAUCUCUAAGAAAUUCUGUAAGUGUGCACUGGCAUCUUCAUGUGCCUUUCCACUGAAUUGUGUAGCUUGUACCAAAUUGAUGAGGCUUGACUUGAGCUCAAACUCGGGUAUUCCUUCUUCUACUGCAAAUCUUGGACCGGUUGGAAUGUUGUCAAGACUUGGAGCAGAGAAUUCUUGCAAGGUCUUGUGUGCCAUAGCUUCAGCAAUUGGUAGCUAGCUUCUUCUUCUCUUGAUUGCUUUGGUUCUGAUGAUGAAGAGUUGAAUGUACCCAAAGUCAAUCCUGUUAUACCCUGUAAGAAAAAUAUAAACAUAGAAAAACAACAGGGUGAACCUGCCAAAGCAGAGGUGCCUUGUUAUGAUUUCUCACUUAGUAGCUGUUGUAUGCAAUUAUUUCUCUAUAGUCUAGUCUAAUAUUUUAUGUGAAUAACCUUGAUUGAUUUUCUGGCUUUCCUUAAUAUUACCCUUUUGUUCCCUUUUAUGAGUUAUUCCUGAGACUCGUAUAAAUCCUAUAAGUUCCAUAAGUUCUAUAAGUCCUAUAGAUCCUAUAAGUCCCCGGUAACGGCGCCAGAAAUGCUUGUUGACACUAGCUAACACCACUUAGAUACUAGGUUGUCAUCCCUAGCAUGGCGCCAGAGUGUACAAAGGUAUUUAUAAAUGUAAAGGCUCUUUACAAAAUAAUCUAUUCUAUCCGCAAGCACACAGAUAAAACACCUCAUUGUCGCAUUUCACCAGGAUAAGUAUUCCAGGUAUCGUUAUUUAUAAUUUUGCUUAGGGGAUCUCAAGAAGAUGGAAUUAAAUCAAAGGGGCAAAAUCUAUCAAGGCAUAGACUAGAGAUAAACUUGCAAGAACAUGAUUACUAAUGAGAAACUCGUCACACAGUCACAUACUUUAGCAGGGGGUAAACCAUAAAGAUAAUGAUAAUAAAUUAUAAGUUCAUGGGAUAAAGAGCACAGCGAUUAGAAAAUAGACUACUCCUCAUAUAUGUAGGUGAUGUCGGAUUAGCUAGAGAAUGGAUUCUAAGUCAUCUACUAACUACUAAGUCAUAAUCUACUCUAGUUAUCUACAAGAUCAUGUAUAGCAUAAAAGACUCUUCAUUCAUGUAUAAGGAACAUUGAUAAAGUAAAUCAGAACAUCGCAUGACUUACUCCACAAUACCGGUUCUGCCUGUCCUAUCAACGGAGGGUGGACUAUAUAAGAAUCAACGAAGCUGUCACUAUCGCGAACUACCACACGACUCGGCCAAUAGGAUACAUUUGUAGAUAAAUAACAUCUAAGCACAACGCUCACAUGUGAUCUAUCACCUAACUCCCUCGCGUCAAGAGCUAAGCGCUUUGCAAACUUAUACAUAAACUCAUUAUCAAUUAGAACUAUAUCAAAUAUAGAACUAGAGCAAACUAAGAACAUAAUAAUUAGAGACAUAAUGCAAUUAGAACAAUAGAAUUAGAGAAAGAUAUGAAUAAUACCAAUCUUUAUUACCGAAGAUCCGAAUCCAGAGCGUAGUGCUCUACUUCUCUAAUUGCUAUCUAAUCAACCUCUAAACUUGAAGGAUUAGGGAGUAGCUAAUUCUAAUUCUCUGUGGGAGAGAGAUCUAAACCCUAACUUUGAUGGCUACCUCUGAAUAAUGAUUUCUCCUCCUCUCCUCCAGGGGCCAGGGGGUCUGGUUUUAUAGUCCCCUCAAGUGAACGUGAGCCAUUGGAUCAAACCGACAUAGAUUGUAUGGUUUAGAUUGAUCCUUUAGGUCGGUGGAGCAUUGUCCCGAAGCAGAGUCCUGGUUGGCUUCCUGGCCAGGGCGGGCGCCCAAGGGGGGUGGGCGGCCGCCCAGCUCCCGAGCCCGAUUCGCGUCCCGUUCGUUCCCGUGGCUUCUGGAUCCUUCUAGAUUGAGGAAAAUUGCGCGGCACGUAAUUAUCUCGUUGUAAACAUGACAUGUGGGCCUUCUCUCCCUAUUUUCUGAUAAACCCCUGCAGAAAUAGAUAAACACCAAAGCUCGUGGAAUUCUGUCAGAUAAAACCCCUAUUCUAGAUGUUUGUUUCAUAUUGAUCCUUUUUCAUGUUUAUUUGAUUAUUAAUUUUAGUACGUAAGGACCGUCAACAAAGCGGUCAAUCCAAGAACCUCUCUGGCCCUCUAAGCUGUCACCCUAUAGUCUGUGCCUGCCAGUGUGUAGUGGAUGUAGCUAUGGUCUGGAGCAACCCAUACUGAAGCAUAGAACUCUCGUACCCACUCCUCAACAUAGUUACCUGCCAGAGCAAGCAAACCUGGGAGACCUGGUAGGUAAGUGAAGUACUUCCUGAUAUCAGCACCUACCACAUUCCCUAGCACCUUGAGGUCUAGCACCUUGUGCUCUCUGAACUGGGUCUCUAAAUGGACAAAAGCCUCAUACAUAUCCUCCUGGACCACUGUGUAGAAUUUGGCACUAGCCUUCUGAUCCCGGGCUACUGGAAACCAGGUGGGAAAUGGAGCAAACCUGAGCUCCUGGAUCUCUCGAGUAGGGGCCUGGGUAUAGUCCUUAUGUAUCCUGGUAGGAGCUGGACGUGGAGCUGGAGUGCUAUGUGCUGGACUGGAGCGAGCCAACGAGGUGGACUGCCCCUACGUACCAGUCCUUGAGCGACCUGGGUACGGGUGCAAGUCGACCUCCGAAGAGGCUGCUCCUCCUACUGAGCCUCUGUCGGGUCCUCUACCUGGGCCUCUGCCUAUGUCUCCUCCUAGGUAGACUCAGUCAUGUCAAUCCAGACACGCUGACCCCCUAGCAUGAUGGUGCCAGGUGGGGCCCUGUGUCGUGUCUCAAUCUCAAGCACUGCACGACUCUGAGAUGGCGUGAGAUCGGCCCCAAUCCUCAAAGCACCUGAGCGACCACCCCUCUCUGCUGCCUCAGCUGCUGCUGCUACUGCCUCGGCUACCUUGGCCUCUCUGUCACUAGCCUUUCUCUUCUUGGUAGCCAGCUUCUUGCCUUUGCCCUUCUCUGCAGCGGACAGGCGACGGGGAGGAUCACCUCCACCAUCACCUCCCGGAGAGCCACCACCACUAGCUAUCGGACCACUGACGUUCUUCCAACGCGCCAUUGCAAGAACCUAAACAGAGAACUAUCGAAAGCUAACAAACUGACACUCUAGAGGCUUGGCCUCAAUCUGUACUCGUGGGCUUGGCCCCGAGUUCAACUGACGCUGUCAACUGAGACCACGUGCUGCAAGAGAUAGAAUAGAUAGGGUAUACAUAAGCACACAUAAUAGAUAAAGAUGAGAAAACCCUAUGGAUCACAAGAAUAGAUAAGGAACAACGCGAACUUCUUACGAUCAGAUGUUGAGACGCGUUCCGGAUGACAGAAAUCCAUCGAAUUCUACCGGAGAACACGAAUCGACUCCUCAAGAUGCUAUGAACGGAAAACGAACACGAAUGUCGUCAAAAACAACACCCAAUUUCGUUUAGACAUUUAAUCAAACACCUUGAGGUCAGGGGAGUUCAACCUCACCUCAAACCCCAGACACCACGCGAGAUUGAAGCCAAACGCGUAGAGGAGGAAGGAAAGAGACUUCUUGGAGGAGAUCCUGUGCGGGGGAGAAAAGGAGGUCGCCGGAGAACACACGAGGUCGCGGGGUGUCAUCUCGGGCGAUUAGGGCACGAGCGGAGCUGGCCAAGAUUGCAGGGACAAAAGAGAGCAACUGCCUGAUCUGAUCCUGGGGUGCGGGGUUAAAUCCGCUGUCCGCGGGGUCACCGGACGCUCUUAAAGGGUCCACCGGACUAAAACACAGAGAGCUCCGCAAAUUCCCCGACCACCGGACGCUAGACGUAGCGUCCGGUGCCUUAGGAUACGCCAGGCAGACCACCGGACACACCUCACUGGACGCUACCUGGACACUGUUCCAGCGUCCGGUGAGUGCUGUCCAGUAGACUCACCACACCGGACUCACUACAGGAGCAUCUGGUGCAUUGUCCGGUGCUCCUUUGCCCUAUUUUUCAACUUGGAACUUUGGCCGACUUUUACCCAACCAAGUUCCAACUUCAAGAAGACUCAAAUAAACACAAAUUGGAAUUGGUAUGAGUGACCUCUCUCAAAAUCUCAAAUUUUCACAAAUAUUUAGCCUUAGGCAUACUAGUUUUUAUAAAAAUAGUCAAGUGAAAGCACCAAGGAGCAUCGUGUGGCCAUAAAGCUAGGAGUUUAAAUCAUAAUGAGCUUUGAAUGCUCCCCCAUCUAUGGACGAACACAGCGGAUGCUCAAAGCAUAACCAAAAAUAAACGGUGAACCAAACAAGCAUGCGUAUGAUUUGAGGUGCAAUGCAAUACUUGAAAGUAAACUAAUGCUUGUCAAGUUUCAUCCAAGGUUAACCUUUUUCACACACACAUGGGGGUUAUCUUAACCAUGUUAGACAAGCCCUACACUCAAUUCUUUUUGUAGUUUUAUUUUGGUUAUACAUGAUAUGCAAAACAAGAGCUAUUUACAAGGACAACACACAACUUCAUUUUUUAGUGAAGUUAGAGAGAUCAAGCACAUUAAGUUCAUUUCUCAACAUACAAAACCUAGCUUCAUCUAGGGGUUUUUUGAAGAUAUCUGCCAAUUGAUUUUCCGUUCCCACAUUCUCUAGAGAUAUAUCACCUUUAGCAACAUGAUCUCUAAGGAAAUGAUGGCGUAUGUCAAUGUGUUUUGUGCGGGUGUGUUGAACUGGGUUGUUUGCAAGUUAUACGACACUUUCAUUGUCACACAACAAAGGUACUUUGUCUAGUACUACUUCAUAGUCUAGCAAAGUUUGUUUCAUGUAAAGUAUUUGUGCACAACAAGCACCUGUGGCAAUGUAUUCCGCCUCGGCCAUUGACAAAGCAACACUAUUUUGUUUCUUUGACAUCCAAGAGACAAGUGAUCUACCUAGGAAGUGACACCCUCCGGAUGUGCUUUUUCUAUCAAUGCAGCACCCAACAUAAUCUGAAUCGGAAUAGCCUACAAGUUAGAAUCUUGCAUCUUUGGGAUACCAUAAGCCUAGGCAAGGUAUGUAUUUUAGAUACCUAAGAAUUCUCUUGACGGCAAUCAAGUGAGAUUCCAUAGGCAUUGCUUGAUAUCUAACACACAUACACACACUAAACUUGAUAUCGGGCCUAGAUGCGGUGAGGUAGAGUAAUCUUCCUAUCAUGGAGCGAUAGAGAGUUUUGUCCAUUGGGUUACCUCCCUCAUCCAAGUCGAGAUGCCCAUUUGAUGCCAUGGGAGUCUUGAUUGGCUUGCAAUCCAUCAUCUUGAACCUCUUGAGAAGAUCUUGUGUGUACUUCUCUUGAGAGAUUAAGACCCCUUCCUUCAUUUGCUUGACUUGAAAUCCUAGGAAGAAGGAUAGCUCGCCAAACAUGGACAUCUCAAACUCCUUGGACAUCAGAUCACCAAAUUCCUUGCAAAACUAUUCAUUAGUGGAGCCAAAGAUAAUAUCAUCAACAUAAACUUGGCAAAUGAAGAUUUCCCCAUUCAUCUUCUUCGUGAAGAGUGUUGUGUCAACUUUCCCAAUCUUGAAGCCCUUCUCAAUGAGGAAGUCCCUAAGCCUCUCAUACCAAGCUCUAGGAGCUUGCUUGAGACCAUAGAGAGCUUUGGACAACCGGUAGACAUGCUUGGGGUACCUAGAGUCUUCAAAACCGGGGGGGGUGCUCAACAUAGACAAGCUCAUUAAUGUAACCAUUUAAAAAAGCACUUUUCACAUCCAUUUGAAACAACUUGAUAUCAUGACUAGAUGCAUAUGCAAGUAGGAUACGAAUUGCUUCAAGUCUUGCCACCGGUGCAAAGGUUUCACCAAAAUCAAGACCUUCCACUUGUGAAAAGCCUUUUGCCACGAGCCUUGCCUUGUUGCGCACCACUUUGCCUUGAUCAUUUAUCUUGUUCCGGAAGACCCAUUUUGUAACAAUCACUCUUGCAUUUUUGGGUCACUCUUUAAGUGUCCACACUUGGUUGUGAGAAAAGUUGUUCAACUCCUCUUGCAUGGCAAUAAUCCAAUCCACAUCACGAAGAGCUUCCUCUAUAGUCUUUGGUUCAUCUUCAAGAGACACAAAAGCAUGAUGUUCAAUAAAUAAAGCAUGUCUAGAGCAUGUAGUUACACCACGUGAUGGACUCCUGAUGAUGAGAUCUUGAGAGUGAUCUUGGAGGAGAUGUGAUGAUCUUCUUAGCGCCACUUGAGGGGUUGCUUGGGGAGCAUCAACAUCUUGUGCUUGUGCCACCGCUUGCUCAUGAGUGACUUGAGUGUAUUCAUGAGCAUCUCUCACAUCCUUGUCUUCAUCUUGUGGUACAUGUGAGGUGGAUGGUGGCUCAAUGAUUUGCACAUCAUCAUCUUCUUUUGGCUUGAUGUCCCCCACCGGCAUAUUCUUCAUAGUAUCCCUCAAUGGUUCACCACAUACAUCAUCAAGAUUAUCACUUGCUCCUUGGGAGCCAUUAGUUUGAUCAAAUUCAACAUCAAAUGUUUCUUCAACCAUGUUUGUGGCAUGGUUAAAGACCCUAAUGGACUUUGAUGAAUAGCCAACCAAGUAGCCAAUGUCACAUCUUCUUUGGAACUUUCCCAAAUGUUGGCGCUUCUUGUAGAUAUAGCACUUGCACCCAAACACUCUAAAGAAUGAGACAUCGGGCUUAUUCCCAUUGAGCAACUCAUAUGGUGUCUUCUCUAGGAACUUGUGAGGAAAGAGCCGGUUUGAUGCAUAGCAUGCGGUGUUGAUUGCCUCGGCCCACAUCUUCUCCGAAGUGUUGUACUCAUCUAGCGUUGUUCUUGCCAAGGUGAUCAAUGUCUGGUUCUUUCUUUCUACAACCCCAUUUUGUUGUGGUGUAUAUGUUUAGGAGAACUCAUGUUUGAUUCCCACUUCAUCACAAUACUCUUCAAUGUUGGUGUUGUCAAACUCUUUGCCAUUAUCACUUGUAAGCUUCUUGAUCUUGACAUCAAAUUGAUUUUGGGCAUUCUUUGCAAACUUCUUGAAUAUUGAUGCAACUUCGGCCUUGUCUUGCAAGAAGAAUGUCCAAUUGUACCGGGAGUAAUCAUCAACUAUGACCAAGCAAUAUUUGUUGCCUCCAAGACUAGCAUAUGUGGUUGGUCCAAAUAGAUCCAUGUGGAGUAGCUCAAGCACUCUUGAAGUGGAGAGAUUGGCCUUGGUUGGAUGGGUGUUAGCAACUUGCUUGUCGGCUUGACAUGCACUACAAAGCUUGUCCUCUAAUCAAUUCUUUCUUCAUCAACUUCUUGAGUGUGCCCAUUCCAACAUGUGCUAACCUUCUAUGCCACAACCACCCAAGAGAGGUCUUGGUGAAUAAGCAAGUCUUGACAUCAACUUCAUUGGAUGAGAAAUCAACUACAUAUAAGUUGUUGUGUCAGAAGCCUUUGAAUACCAUUUCAUUGUCAUCCUCCUUGGUCACUAUUACUUCCUUCUUCUUGAAUAGACAUUCAAAACCAAGAUCACAAAGUGGUCCAACCGAGAGCAAGUUGAAACUUAAUGAUUGCACAUAGAGCACAUUGGUGAUGGAGAUGUCAUUUGAUAUAGCAACCUUUCCUAGACCCUUGACCUUUCCUUUUGAAUUGUCACCAAAUGUGAUCUUCUCUUGGUUGUCAACAUCUUCAUCAAGUGAGGUGAACAUCCAGGGAUCUCUGGUCAUAUGUUGAGUGCAACCACUAUCAAUUACCCAAUGUGAUCCACCGGUCUUGUAGUUCACCUACACACAAGAGAUCAAGCUUGAGAUUUAGGGAACCACAUUUGCUUAGGGCCCUUGACCUUCUCUACUAGUUAAUUUGGCACCCAUAUCUUCUUUGGCCUUUGCUUGUUGGGCGGCCCCAUGAAGCUAACCUUGACCUUGCCACUCUUGUCUUUCCUUACAAUGUAGUGAGCAUUGAAGGCAAAUGGUCUAGCAUGGUUGGGCAAGGGAGGUGGUAGUGGUGCCUCACACUCAUGAGCAAAGUGUCCUUCUUGACCACACUCAAAGCAUCUCUUUGGCUUUGGCUUGCUUGGUUGAUCAUGAGUGGCUAGUGACUUGAUGAGCUUUGUUUGAUGAUCCUUGUAGCCAAUCUCACUCUUGCCCAUCUUCAUGAUGGUGUUCAUGAAUAGCUCACUUUGAAGGUCCUUUCGUUUUGUGAACUUUGCUAACCCCUUGGUUAGAUGUUCCUUCUCUUUCUUGAGCUUGCUAUUCUCUUGAGUUAGCUUCUUGAUGAUUGGGUCAUUGUUGCUUGCUAACUCAUCUAAGAUGAAUGACUCAUCUUCUUCUUGCUUGUCAUACAUCAAACCAAGCUUGAGAUAUUGGUUCUCUUCUUUGAGCAACUUGUUCUCAUAUGCAUGCUUCUUGUCUUGAUCAAGCGACUCAGUCAAAAUUGUGUUGUGCUUGGCUUGCUCUUGCAACUCUUUCUUGAGCAUGUCAUUUUCUUCCUUGAGCUUGAUAGCGUCCUCAUAGCUCUCGGCCACUACCACUUUCUUUCCCUUGCAACCAACACAUUUGCUUGUGCUCUCCACAAGUAAGUCAUCACAAGAUGUGGCUACAUCAAGCUUAGCAACAUGGUUAGUAGAAUCAUGUAUUUCAUUGAUUGUAAGAUCAUAAGCUAUCUCAAGGUUGUCAUAGUUGACUUUUAGAGUUGUUAGUUCUUCCUUCAAAGCUUUAUGUCUAGUGAUAAGCUCAUCAUGCACACUCUCAAGUUUAUCAUGUUUUUCUUUGAGCUCUUCUAAAGAGAGUUUGAGCUCCUUGAGUUUAGUGGUCAUGAUCUCAUUUUGAUCUCUAAGCUCAUCACUAGAUUUAAGCUUCGCCAGAAGUGAUUCAUUUUCAAGUUCAAGUUUUUCAUUUUCACUUCUAGUUUUUCUUAUGACCUUAGUGCAUUUGUUUAGGAAUUUUACAAGUUUGUCAUAAGAUGGUGAUUGUUGACACUUACUAACACCACUUAGAUACUAGGUUGUCAUCCCCAGCAUGGUGCCAGAGUGUACAAAGGUAUUUAUGAAUAUGGAGGCUCUCUAGAAAAUAAUCUAUUCUAUCCGCAAGCGCACAGAUAAAAUACCUCAUUGUAGCAUUUCACUAGGAAAGUAUUCCAGGUAUCGUUAUUUAUAAUUUUGCUCAAGAGAAAGGGUUAAAUGAAGAUAAGGAUAAAAUCUAUCAAGGCAUAGACUAGAGAUAAACUUGCAAGAACAUGAUUACUAAUGAGGAACUCGUCACACAGUCACUUAUUUUGGCAGGGGGUAAGCCAUAAUAAUAAUGAUAAUGAAAUAUAAGCUCAUGGGUAAAUAACACAGCGAUUAGAAAAUAUACUACUCAAAUAUGUAAGGUGACGUCGGAUUAGCUAGAGAAUGGAGUCUAAGUUAUCUACUAUCUACUAAGUCACAAUCUACUCUAGUUAUCUACAAGAUCAUAUAUAGCAUAAAAGACUCUUCAUUAAUGUAUAAGGAACAUUGCUAAAGUAAAUCAGAGCAUCGCAAGACUUACUCCGCAAUACAAAUUCUGCCUGUCCUAUCAAUGGAGGGUGGACUAUAUAAGAAUUAACGAAGCUGUCACUAUCGCGAACUACCACACGACCCGGCCAAUAGGAUACAUUUGCAGGUAAAUAACAUCUAAGCACCACGCCUACAUGUGAUCUACCACUUAACUCCUACAUGUCAAGAGCUAAGCACUUUGCAAACUUAUACAUAAACUCAUUAUCAAUCAUAACUAUAUCAAAUAUAGAACUAGAGCAAACUAAGAGCUUAAUAAAUAGAGACAUAAUGCAAUUAGAAUAAAGUAGUAGAGAAAGAUAUGAAAUAGUACCAAUCUUUAUUGAUGAAGAUCCGAAUCCAGAGUACUAGGCUCUACUUCUCUAAUUCUAUCUAAUAAAUCCUCUAAACUUGAAGGAUUAGAGAGUAGCUAAUUCUAAUUCUCUGUGGGAGAGAAGUUCUAAACCCUAACUUUGAUGGCUACCUCUGAUAAUGAUUUCUCCUCUCUCCCACUGGGGUGGAGAGGCCUUGAUUAUAUAGUCCUUUCAAGUGAAUUUGGGCCGUCGGAUCAAACGGACAUUGAUCGCACGGUUUUCCUUGAUCCUUUAGGUCGGUGGAGCAUAAUCCGCGAAGUUGAUUGUGAUUGGCCCCGAGGCUAGGGCGGGCGCCCAAGGGGGGAGGGCAGGCGCCCUGCCCCCGAGCCCGUCCAGACUCCCGUUCGUUCCCGUGGCUUGUGGACUCUUCUAGAUUAAGGAAAAUUGCACGGCACGUAAUUAUCUCGUUGUAAACAUGACAUGUGGGCCUUCUCUCCAUAUUUUCUGAUAACCCCCUGCAGAAAUAGACAAACACCAAAGCUCGUGGAAUUCUGUCAGAUAAAACCCUAAUUCUAGAUGUUUGGUGCAUAUUCAUCCUUUUCCAUGUUUAGUUGAUGGUUACAUUUAGUACUUAAGGACCAUCAACAAACUCCCCCAAGCUUACCCUUUGCUCGUCCCUGAGCAAACAACUAAACUCAGAUGGAUCAGGAGUUGCUUCGAUGUUUUCUUUCCUGACAGGCACACAUGCUUUCACAUAAAAAAUCUCCCGGAUUAGAGUGAAGUGUUAAGGGGCUUAGUUACCUGCACUUAAGUCUUAAGUAGUUGAAAGACAAAAUAAUUAAGUCGAGCACUAUUCCUCCUGUCUAUACUUCACCUUUGUUCUGGAGUUUUGCAUACGUUUUCAGAAAUAAAACAUAGACUUCCCAGCAAUGAUUCUCUCAAGUCUCUCUCUAUAUAUGGUAUUUGUGGAUCCUUACAAAGAUGUCACCUACCUAUAGCUAAUGAAUAUUUAAAUGGAGCUCAUAGGAGUGAAAAACAGCUCAUACAUAUGUUGUCUAAUCGAGCCAUGGAUCCAAAGGAACUCAACAUAUAAUUAAAUGUGCAUGUGUGGUGGAGUAAAUGAUAGUAAUGAUAAAAAUGUAUAAGUGAUGAUAAAACUUACUUCUCAUUGCUCCUCAUAUUGCUAUCUCUCCUCUUCUUUGAUCUUUGCUUUGGGAGAACAUGGGCUAUCUCUUCUUUUUUUUCAGGUGGGUAGUAGAUACCCCUAAUUCUACUAUCGGACACUUGUCCAUUUUUUCGCUCAAGUGGGC
rnacentral:lncRNA from 1 species